rnacentral:tRNA from 1 species
GCCUGGCUAGCUCAAUCGGUAGAGCGUGAGACUCUUAAAUCAUCUCAAGGUUGUGGGUUCGACCCCCACGUUAGGCU